GGAGACUGGAGAGGAUUUGAAUGAUCCCCCUUGUUCGUGUGUUUCUGUCUACCGAACGGGUAGCCGUUCGGUAGUUUCUACACUAAUUUACGGGUAGUGUGGAGGUCUGUUCGGGAGUUUUAAAAUGGGCGCCGCCACCCAGAGGACAAAACACACAUUACACGAAUCACCAAUUACCCGUUUGCAACAUUGUUGCGAAUUAUUAUUCCUGGGUGGUCUGGAUGUUCGGUAGUUUUCAUUCAUAUGGAAUACGGAUGAAAACUAACGAACAAACAUACGAAUGCUACAUACAAUUUUAGUUAUACAUG